GACGAACGCUGGCGGCGUGCUUAACACAUGCAAGUCGAACGAAGUGGCGAACGGGUGAGUAACGCGUAAUCAACCUGCCCUUCAGAGGGGGACAACAGUUGGCAACGACUGCUAAUACCGCAUACUGAAGGAGGGGAUUGCGUCGGAUUAGCUAGUUGGAGGGGUAACGGCCCAACAAGGCGAUGAUCAGUAGCCGGUCUGGAGGGAUGGACGGCCAAAUUGGGACCGGUGCACCGGCCAGGCUCCUACGGGGGGGAGCAGGGGGGAAUCUUUCGCAAAGGACGGAAGUCUGACGGAGCAACGCCGCGUGAGUGAUGACGGCCUUCGGGUUGUAAAGCUCUGUUAAUCGGGACGCGGUACCGGAAUAGAAAGCCACGGCUAACUACGUGCCAGCAGCCGCGGUAAUAC
rnacentral:rRNA from 1 species